rnacentral:rRNA from 1 species
GAUGAACGCUGGCGGCGUGCCUAAUACAUGCAAGUCGAGCGAACGGACGAGAAGCUUGCUUCUCUGAUGUUAGCGGCGGACGGGUGAGUAACGCGUGGAUAACCUACCUAUAAGACUGGGAUAACUUCGGGAAACCGGAGCUAAUACCGGAUGAUAUUUUGAACCGCAUGGUUCAAAAGUGAAAGACGGUCUUGCUGUCACUUAUAGAUGGAUCCGCGCUGCAUUAGCUAGUUGGUAAGGUAACGGCUUACCAAGGCAACGAUGCAUAGCCGACCUGAGAGGGUGAUCGGCCACACUGGAACUGAGACACGGUCCAGACUCCUACGGGAGGCAGCAGUAGGGAAUCUUCCGCAAUGGGCGAGAGCCUGACGGAGCAACGCCGCGUGAGUGAUGAAGGUCUUCGGAUCGUAAAACUCUGUUAUUAGGGAAGAACAUAUGUGUAAGUAACUGUGCACAUCUUGACGGUACCUAAUCAGAAAGCCACGGCUAACUACGUG